rnacentral:rRNA from 1 species
CCUACGGGUGGCAGCAGUGAGGAAUAUUGGUCAAUGGACGAGAGUCUGAACCAGCCAAGUAGCGUGAAGGAUGACUGCCCUAUGGGUUGUAAACUUCUUUUAUAUGGGAAUAAAAUGUUCCACGUGUGGGAUUUUGUAUGUACCAUAUGAAUAAGGAUCGGCUAACUCCGUGCCAGCAGCCGCGGUAAUACGGAGGAUCCGAGCGUUAUCCGGAUUUAUUGGGUUUAAAGGGAGCGUAGGUGGAUUGUUAAGUCAGUUGUGAAAGUUUGCGGCUCAACCGUAAAAUUGCAGUUGGAACUGGCAGUCUUGAGUACAGUAGAGGUGGGCGGAAUUCGUGGUGUAGCGGUGAAAUGCUUAGAUAUUACGAAGAACUCCGAUUGCGAAGGCAGUUCACUGGACUGCAACUGACACUGAGGCUCGAAAGUGUGGGUAUCAAACAGGAUUAGAUACCCUUGUAGUC